rnacentral:rRNA from 1 species
CAGUAGCCGCGGUAAUACGAAGGGUGCAAGCGUUAAUCGGAAUUACUGGGCGUAAAGCGUGCGUAGGCGGUUUGUUAAGUCUGUUGUGAAAUCCCCGGGCUCAACCUGGGAAUGGCAAUGGAUACUGGCAAGCUAGAGUGAGUCAGAGGAUGGUGGAAUUCCCGGUGUAGCGGUGAAAUGCGUAGAGAUCGGGAGGAACAUCAGUGGCGAAGGCGGCCAUCUGGGACAACACUGACGCUGAGGCACGAAAGCGUGGGGAGCAAACAGGAUUAGAUACCCCGGUAGUCCCUGUUCUUAUACC